UUACAAUGGAGAGUUUGAUCCUGGCUCAGGAU
rnacentral:rRNA from 1 species